rnacentral:misc_RNA from 1 species
GCUAGUCUCUACAUCAAAAUUGGUUGGGGAUUGCAUGUAUAAAAAUCAUUUUUCCCCAAAAAGGACUCAACUAAAUUACUCAUCUAAUGCAAAUGGUCUAGGAGCUUCAUACCCGAGCAUAUGGAUUGAAUACGUGUUAAUUUUUAUGGGCUUUAUUCGUUAAGUUCUUCAACCAGAGUCUACCCAAAACUUGCUUUUUCCCAUCAAUAGAAGCCAAGUAUUUUUUGCAACCUUCCUCAUAAUCAGCUUGUGAAACUCUUUCUUCAUGAAGAACAUGCAUUCAAGGCAUGUAACAGGUCACUUUAACACUCAGAGACAAUCAUUGGAGUUAAUAUGGGGCUUGCUCUUUUU